CCAUCCUUAGCUCAGUUGGUAGAGCAAUCGUCUUAUACACGAUCGGUCCCAGGUUCGAAUCCUGGAGGAUGGA
rnacentral:tRNA from 1 species